AGCAGCCGCGGUAAUUCCAGCUCCAAUAGCGUAUAUUAAAGUUGUUGCAGUUAAAAAGCUCGUAGUUGAAUUUCGGGAUCAAUAUAUCGGUCGUGCCAUUGGUACGUACUGGUAUCAUUGGUUUCUCCUUUCUGACGAACCAUGAUGUCAUUAAUUUGGUGUUAUGGGAAGUUAGGACUGUUACUUUGAAAAAAUUAGAGUGUUUAAAGCAGGCUUUAGCUUGAAUACAUUAGCAUGGAAUAAUGAAAUAGGACGUUCGAACCUAUUUUGUUGGUUUCUAGGAUCAACGUAAUGAUUAAUAGGGAUAGUUGGGGGCAUUAGUAUUCAAUUGUCAGAGGUGAAAUUCUUGGAUUUAUUGAAGACUAACUACUGCGAAAGCAUUUGCCAAGGAUGUUUUCAUUAAUCAAGAACGAAAGUUAGGGGAUCGAAGACGAUCAGAUACCGUCGUAGUCUUAACCAUAAACUAUGCCGACUAGGGAUCGGAUGAUGUUAAUUUUUUAUGACUCAUUCGGCGCCUUACG
rnacentral:rRNA from 1 species